GAAUUAACGUUUGGUGAAAGUUUUUGAGGUGAAAGUUUUGGCUUGAUUUCAGUUGGCAGAAACACAUCAGGAAAACGAGUGGCCUGUUUGUAGCCAUUUCGACGGAGAUAAAUUUGAACAGGUUAGCUAAUUGUGAUUUGGCCUGCGAAAGCUCAGCACCCCGGCGGUCGAUCUCUUGCUUUCAGAAGGUCGACACUUGAACGAACCAUCUGCAAUUCUACAUCACACAUUUCAAAACGAAGAGAUUAUGACCGACAAACUAUAAACAGUUGCUGGAUUAAUUUUAGUUUGGUGGCCGUUGGAGCAUAAAUAAUCAUAAAAGCCAGCAUUUUUCUUCACAGUGUCAGAGGCUGAUAGAUAUCAGUCAGCAUCAGUUUGACAUGAAAAUAUAUCGUGGCAUAUUCUCGAUUGGAAUAAUACUACAUCACCUUUU
rnacentral:lncRNA from 1 species